AUGGAUUCCACAAAGGAGGGCAAUAAGAAGGGUUGUUCUGUCGUCAACAAGGUUGUGACCAGAAAGCACACUAUCAGCACUCAUGAGCACACCUAUGGAGUGUGCUUUAAGACACUGCCCCUGGCAUACACAAAGAGAUCUGGAAAUUUUCCAUGAAAGAGCUAGGAACUCGAGAUGUGUGCAUUGAUGCCGGGCUCAACAAAGCUGUCUCAGACAAAGGAGUAAGGAAUAUCCCUCACCCUAUCUGUGUACCACUGUCCAGAAAGCGUAAUGAAGAUGAAGAUUGAUCAAACAAGCUCUGUACAUUGGUUAGCUAUGCAACUGUCACCACUUUCAAAAACCUACAGUCAAUGUGGAUGAAAACUAA
rnacentral:lncRNA from 1 species